rnacentral:rRNA from 1 species
AGUAGCCGGCCUGAGAGGGCGGAUGGCCACACUGGGACUGAGACACGGCCCAGACUCCUGCGGGAGGCAGCAGUGGGGAAUAUUGCACAAUGGGGGAAACCCUGAUGCAGCGACGCCGCGUGAAGGAAGAAGUAUCUCGGUAUGUAAACUUCUAUCAGCAGGGAAGAAAACAGACGGUACCUGACUAAGAAGCCCCGGCUAACUACGUGCCAGCAGCCGCGGUAAUACGUAGGGGGCAAGCGUUAUCCGGAUUUACUGGGUGUAAAGGGGGCGCAGACGGCCAUGGCAAGCCCGGUGUGAAAGGCAGGGGCAUAACCCCUGGACUGCACUGGGAACUGUCAGGCUGGAGUGCCGGAGGGGUAAGCGGAAUUCCUGGUGUAGCGGUGAAAUGCGUAGAUAUCAGGAGGAACACCGGCGGCGAAGGCGGCUUACUGGACGGCAACUGACGUUGAGGCCCGAAAGCGUGGGGAGCGAACAGGAUUAGAUACCCUGGUAGUCCACGCCGUAAACGAUGUAUACCAGGUGUCGGAUAUCAAGGAUAUCC